rnacentral:rRNA from 1 species
AUUGAACGCUGGCGGCAGGCCUAACACAUGCAAGUCGAGCGGGGUUUUCGGACCUAGCGGCGGACGGGUGAGUAAUGCGUAGGAAGCUACCCGAUAGAGGGGGAUACCAGUUGGAAACGACUGUUAAUACCGCAUAAUGUCUACGGACCAAAGUGUGGGACCUUCGGGCCACAUGCUAUCGGAUGCGCCUACGUGGGAUUAGCUAGUUGGUGAGGUAAUGGCUCACCAAGGCGACGAUCCCUAGCUGGUUUGAGAGGAUGAUAAGCCACACUGGAGAGCGGACACGGUCCAGACUCCGACGGGAGGCAGCAGUGGGGAAUAUUGGACCAUGGGCGCUAGCCUGAUCCAGCCACGCCGCGUGUGUGAAGAUGGCCUUCGGGUUGUAAAGCACUUUCAGCGAGGAGGAAGGGGUGAGUGUUAAUAGUACUCAUCUUUUACGUUACUCGCAGAAGAAGCACCGGCUAACUCUGUGCCAGCCGCCGCCGUAACAC